CACAGAAGGGCCAGGGAGCCGCUGUCAGCUCCUCCGAGGCUCUUCAAACAGAGAGAUGUUUAUAUCUUUUCAGUGCGGUCCAAAUUACAAGCAGGAAACUGGAGCCUGGGGAACAUAAACCAAGGGAUACAAGCAUGGGAAUCCAAGGACCUUCCUUAUUACUGAGCUUUGGUUUCUCACUUCUCGAGGAUGCCUUCCCGACCAGCCUGUCCGCAGCAGACACCCAGGCUGACUCAUGGCCUCCCUCCCAGCCCAGCUCCGGGCCAACCAGCACGCAGGCCUGGUGCAGGGACCGCGGCAGCUCCGCGAGCAGCCCAGAGCAGGGACCCAGGCCCCCUCCCCGCUCCCCACUUCUGUGAACACAGCUCUACACGGGGCCUUGGCUGGCUUCGGAAAAAGUACAAACGCAGAAUGCCUAGGAUUUCCGUGGGGCCAGCCCCAAGAGGCCGCUUGCCAUUCACGGUCUUCCUGGAAACCUGGGACAUUGGUUCCAACAUCCUAGCAUUGCCCAGAAGUCACGUAUGGAGGAUUACAUCCCCCAAGUCCUUAAUCCCUUGCUGACUCAUGCCAGUUCCAGACCUAAGUUAAGAUGUCUGGUUUCAAGGAGCCCCCUGCCUCUGGCCAAUGCCGCCGCAGAGAGGAAGAAGGGAGAGUCAAAAAUCAUUCGCCACUCAUUGAACAUUUCCUGAUUGCCCACUAUGUGUCGAAUGCCAGGAAUUAAAAGCAAUAAUAAGAAUAAUAAAACUCUGAUCCCCAUCAUCAAGGAAAUCAGAAUCCAGGCAGUGGAAGGUAUCACACAAAGUUUUUGUUUUCUUAUCAUAAGGGAUCCACGUUUGCAAAUGAGUCUUAUGAAUAUUGCUUUGGAGGCCAACCCUAUGAGGUCAACGUGGUUCCAGGGGAAAAAGUGAGAAUUGGGAAUCACAGAGGCGAGCCACGGGGCUGCCAACCUCCUUCCCUCCCCAGGUUAACUGCCUUCUCAACUGGAAAGCCACCUCCUCAUGCAGGUAUCAAUCUUGUGCUCUACUGGAGGCAACACAGACGCUGUGAGGUUUGCACUGGGAAGGUGUCUUUCAAAUGAGACUGCAUUUAACCUCCAAGUGCCCUUACAGGGCAUCUCAUUCAAUCACCCAGCAGCCCUCCAGAUCCCAUUGAACAGGUGAGGCUCUGGGCCCUGGUGAGGUCAGUCACGCACAAGGUCUCACAGCUGGUUUGGGGCAGAACCCUGAACUUUCCUCAGACGGGUUUGCAGAUCUUCAGUUCUUUCAACCCUGGUUCUGGACAGGCAGGAGAAGGUCUGGGUGGCCAGCAGAGUCACGCCUGGACUCCAGCCUCCCAUCUCUGCAGAGCUCUGCUCAGAUGUCCCGUAUCAGAGUCCUUCCCUGACUGGCUUUUCCACACCGUGCCACGACCAUUGCCCUCUUCUCUUCAUCCUGGUUGUAUUCAUUUCUCACUGCCACCAUUUCCUUGUGCACUGUCGACCUCCCCCAUUAGAUUGGAAGCUCAUGUCUAGCAUAUUUACUGCUAUAUUCCCUGGCAUAGAGUAGGUGCUCCAUUAUUUGUUGCAUGAGUGAAUAAAUGAACAAAUGUAACCUCAAACAGAACCUCCCUCUCCUCCUGCUCUGCCCACUUUGGGAAAAACACUAAGGGUCAUCAGGCAGCUGGCAGGUCGCAUGGCAGCUGAGGAAGUGGCUCAGGGCCGCCCCAGGGACAGCGAGCUGGCCCUCCCUUAGGGAUCUUGGAAGCGAAUACUCGGAGGCCAAGGGUGCCAGUGGAAGGGACCAGAGUUUCCCAACAGCCUCUGCUCAGAGAGGGCCUGGAAACUUCCAGAAAGGUGACAAUAACCGGUGGGGGAUUGGUGCUGCUGCCUACUCCCCCACACCACAACCUGCCCUGAAUCAGAGGGGCCUGGGUUUCCUGCAGUGUUUGCUCCAGUUCCCAGAGCCAACUUCCGCCAGCCCCACAGGGACACUCAGAGCUCAUCUGGAACCUUCUGAUUUGCAUCUCCAAAGAAAUAAAAUA